rnacentral:rRNA from 1 species
GACGAACGCUGGCGGCGUGCUUAACACAUGCAAGUCGAACGAAGAGCGAUGGAAGCUUGCUUCUAUCAAUCUUAGUGGCGAACGGGUGAGUCACGCGUAAUCAACCUGCCCUUCAGAGGGGGACAACAGUUGGAAACGACUGCUAAUACCGCAUACGAUCUAACCUCGGCAUCGAGGAUAGAUGAAAGGUGGCCUCUACAUGUAAGCUAUCACUGAAGGAGGGGAUUGCGUCUGAUUAGCUAGUUGGAGGGGUAACGGCCCACCAAGGCGAUGAUCAGUAGCCGGUCUGAGAGGAUGAACGGCCACAUUGGGACGGAGACACGGCCCAGACUCCUACGGGAGGCAGCAGUGGGGAAUCUUCCGCAAGGGACGAAAGUCUGACGGAGCAACGCCGCGUGAGUGAUGACGGCCUUCGGGUUGUAAAGCUCUGUUAAUCGGGACGAAAGGCCUUCUUGCGAAUAGUGAGAAGGAUUGACGGUACCGGAAUAGAAAGCCACGGCUAACUACGUG